UACGGGGGGGGCAAGCGUUGUUCGGAAUUACUGGGCGAAAAGGGCUCGUAGGCGGCCAACUAAGUCAUACGUGAAAUCCCUCGGCUUAACCGGGGAACUGCGUCUGAUACUGGAUGGCUAGAGUUUGGGAGAGGGAUGCGGAAUUCCAGGUGUAGCGGUGAAAUGCGCAGAUAUCAGGAAGAACACCUAUGGCGAAGGCAGCACUCUGGGACGGUACUGACGCUGAGACGCGAAAGCGUGGGGAGCGAACAGG
rnacentral:rRNA from 1 species